rnacentral:ncRNA from 2 species
AUGUUUAGAGGAAAUGAGGUACUUCCUUGGGAAACCUAAAUGCAAAUAUGCUGAUGACUUCUACUUUUGU